rnacentral:rRNA from 1 species
GAUGAACGCUGGCGGCGUGCCUAAUACAUGCAAGUCGAGCGAACAGAUGAGGAUCUUGCUCCUCUGACGUUAGCGGCGGACGGGUGAGUAACACGUGGAUAACCUACCUAUAAGACUGAGGUAACUUCGGGGAACCGGAGCUAAUACCGGAUAAUAUAUUGAACCGCAGGGUUCAAUAGUGAAAGACGGUUUUGCUGUCACUAAUAGAUGGAUCCGCGUCGGAUUAGCUAGUUGGUAAGGUAACGGCCUACCAAGGCGACGAUGCGUAGCUGACCGGAGAGGAGGAUCGGGCACACUGGAACUGAGACACGGUCCAGACUCCUACGGGAGGCAGCAGUGGGGAAUAUUGGACAAUGGGCGAAAGCCUGAUCCAGCCAUGCCGCGUGUGUGAAGAAGGUCUUCGGAUUGUAAAGCACUUUAAGUUGGGAGGAAGGGCAGUGAGUUAACACCUUGCUGUUUUGACGUUACCAACAGAAUAAGCACCGGCUAACUUCGUG